UGUAAGCGUAUACCAAAGUUGUUGCAGUUAAAACGCUCGUAGUCGGAAUUUGGCAGUUCCGGAUGUGUGCACGUCGUGUGCGCACUUCGCGGGGAUUGCUUUUGUGGUCUUGCGUAGGAUGAGGCACUUUUAUUAGUGAACGUCCUCACGCAACCACUUUUUACUGUGAGAAAAUCAGAGUGCUCAAAGCAGGCAUUUGCCGUGAAUGUAUUAGCAUGGAAUAAUAGAAUAGGACUUGGUUCUAUUUUGUUGGUUUGUUGGGACUGAGUAAUGAUUAAGAGGGACAGCUGGGGGCAUUUGUAUUUCGGUGCUAGAGGUGAAAUUCUUAGAUUACCGAAAGACAAACUGCUGCGAAAGCGUCUGCCAAGGAUGUUUUCAUUGA
rnacentral:rRNA from 1 species